UGCUCCAUGGAAAGCACCAGGAUGCACUUGA
rnacentral:piRNA from 1 species